rnacentral:rRNA from 1 species
AGCGAACGUUAGCGGCGCGCCUAACACAUGCAAGUCGCACGAGAAAGGGAGCAAUCCCCGGUACAGUGGCGCACGGGUGAGUAACACGUAGAUGACCUUCCCUGGAGUGGUGGAUAACCUGCCGAAAGGCGGGCUAAUACAGCAUGGGACCACAUGGUUUUGACCGAGUGGUGAAAGCGGGCCUCUGUUCACAAGCUCGCGCUCUGGGAUGGGUCUGCGUCCCAUCAGCUAGUUGGUGAGGUAAUGGCUCACCAAGGCAUCGACGGGUAGCUGGUCUGAGAGGAUGACCAGCCACACUGGAACUGAGGCACGGUCCAGACUCCUACGGGAGGCAGCAGUGGGGAAUCUUGCGCAAUGGGCGAAAGCCUGACGCAGCGACGCCGCGUGGUGAUGAAGGCCUCGG